rnacentral:miRNA from 1 species
UAAUACUGUCUGGUAAUGAUGU